ACGGAAGGCAGCAGUGGGGAAUAUUGCACAAUGGGGGAAACCCUGAUGCAGCGACGCCGCGUGAGUGAAGAAGUUAUUCGUAAUGUAAAGCUCUAUCAGCAGGGAAGAAAAUGACGGUACCUGACUAAGAAGCCCCGGCUAACUACGUGCCAGCAGCCGCGGUAAUACGUAGGGGGCAAGCGUUAUCCGGAUUUACUGGGUGUAAAGGGAGCGUAGACGGCUUAGCAAGUCUGAUGUGAAAGGCAGGGGCUCAACUCCUGGACUGCAUUGGAAACUGUUAAGCUAGAGUGCCGGAGAGGUAAGCGGAAUUCCUAGUGUAGCGGUGAAAUGCGCAGAUAUUAGGAGGAACACCAGUGGCGAAGGCGGCUUACUGGACGGUAACUGACGUUGAGGCUCGAAAGCGUGGGGAGCAAACAGGAUUAGAUACCCUGGUA
rnacentral:rRNA from 1 species